GAGGGUGUGGCUCAGUGGUAGACCACAUGCUUAGCAUGCAUGAGGUUCUGGGUUCAAUCCUCAGUACCUCCA
rnacentral:tRNA from 1 species